AAUCAGAGUGCCUCCGCGGAGCGUCCUGGCGAUCUAAUUGCCCGCACACCCUUGUGAGCUGUGCGCCCUCCUCCGCCCCAUUAGGCAGGAGGACCACUAGUCCUUCCAUCAUAAAGGUGAACUGGAGGAUAUCUGCUACCACGGAAGGCCCAGGGCCCCAGAAGUGGUACUCCCAAACAGCAGCGAGGCGAAAGGAAAGAGAAAGGGCUUGUCCAGGAACGCCCACCGCACACGGUUUCCUCCAACCCCAGUGGGGACUUCCUUUUCACAGUACCUAGCGUCUCUGAGGCGGUGACACAAGACACUCAACAUGGCCGCUUCCAAACUGGUAAAGGCAGCAAUGGUCGCAGCUGCUGCUCCAGCCUCCGGGAGUGGAGUGGGCCUUGGCAGUGGGACUCGGCUCAGGCACUAGGUUCUGGCGCGGCUAGUAGAGGCGUUCUUGCUUCUGGGCGCGCGUGCCCUGUACCUGUGAACUGGCAGCGGUGGGCUCAGUGGCGAACGGAAGACCCCGGAGGUCAGUCCUCCCCGGGGCAUCAGAAGCCCCGAAGGUUCCGGUGCCCACUUGCAAAUAGUGAGAAGCUGCCCCCGGCCGUAGAGGUAGAACCGAAUGAAUUCAUCUUUACCUUCAAGGGCCCUCCGGGUGAGGGAGAAACAGCAAGGGGCUGCUCCUGAAUUUAAAAACUCAUUUCUGGCUGCCUCUGUAUGGAAUGGAUUUACUCCAGGGUGCAGGUUACCGACCUUCUUUGACAUUUUCCUUUGGCUUUCCAAAACAAUCUCGCUUUCCCCAAUGACUCCGCAUUUAUUCCUACUGUUAUACAAAAGGGAAAUAUUUGCAAUGUCAUGAUUGCGUUUAGCUAAGAAUCUAAGGAAGCCAAAUUUCACUAAUGAUUGGUACGUUAUGAUAUGAAUUGCUUUUGUGAUUUCCAAAGUCUAGAACUUAAUCGAUAAGAACAUUUUAAUGAGAAAAAGCUAAAUAACUUUAUAUAUGUGUAUACAAUAUAACUUUAUAUAUGUUUAAAGAGUAAAAUAGUAAUAGCAUUUUAAAAUAUUUUUUAUAUGUUGGAAGAAUCUUAAAUAUUUGUUUCACUGGAAAUAUAUAUACCCUUAUACACAAAGGAGCCAUUGGCACUCUGUUCAAGGUUAAGAUGCAUUUUUAGUAAGUAGUUAUAUUAGCCUAACUACUAUAUAUUACUGCCUACAACGUGUGAGGUAUGAUACUAACCCAUGAAAGACCAUUAAGAUCUUGUGAGAGUAAAACAUAUAUUUUGUUGUUGUUGUUGUUAUUGUUGUUUGGUACCAGUGAUAGCCGAGGCGGUUAGCCACUGAGCCACAUACAUCCCCUGCCUUUUUUUAUAUUUUAUUUAGAAACUGGGUCUCGCUGAAUUGCUUGGGCCCUCGCUAAGUUUCUGAGGCUGGCUUUGAACUCUGAGAUCCUUCUGCCUCACCCUCCAGGAUUAUAGGCUUGUGCCACAGCUCCUAGUUAUGGCUUAUUUUUAAUCAAAGAAAAUGCAUUACAAUAUGGAAGAGAACCCAUGGACUGUGAGAACUAGAGAAAUGUCACUUAAUAUUGAACACUCCACCACUGUUAGUUUGGGAAAGUCAUUUUAUCUCCCUGAUGUAACUACUAUCAUCCCUGUAGAAUAGGAGGAUUAAAAUAUUGGAUCUCUCAACAUCCAGCACUAAAAAUUGAUGAUCCAUAGGGCUGCCAGUGGGAGGUGUUAUCAAGAAGAUUCUCUGAAUUAGCUGUCACAUGUUAGUUUCAUAUGUAUGAAAUUCCCUGCUUUGUUAAUAUAAUUUUAGUCAUAGAAUAAUAGAUAAAAGAAAUGUACAUUAAAGUUUUCAGAUUUAUAAUCAUUAAAAAUAAAGAUAUUUCUGUAAAUAAAA